rnacentral:rRNA from 1 species
GAAUUCACUAGUGAUUGUGAAGCUUACGGUUACCUUGUUACGACUUCACCCCAGUCAUGAACCACAAAGUGGUAAGCGCCCUCCCGAAGGUUAAGCUACCUACUUCUUUUGCAACCCACUCCCAUGGUGUGACGGGCGGUGUGUACAAGGCCCGGGAACGUAUUCACCGUAGCAUUCUGAUCUACGAUUACUAGCGAUUCCGACUUCAUGGAGUCGAGUUGCAGACUCCAAUCCGGACUACGACGCACUUUAUGAGGUCCGCUUGCUCUCGCGAGUUCGCUUCUCUUUGUAUGCGCCAUUGUAGCACGUGUGUAGCCCUACUCGUAAGGGCCAUGAUGACUUGACGUCAUCCCCACCUUCCUCCAGUUUAUCACUGGCAGUCUCCUUUGAGUUCCCGGCCGGACCGCUGGCAACAAAGGAUAAGGGUUGCGCUCGUUGCGGGACUUAACCCAACAUUUCACAACACGAGCUGACGACAGCCAUGCAGCACCUGUCUCAGAGUUCCCGAAGGCACCAAUCCAUCUCUGGAAAGUUCUCUGGAUGUCAAGAGUAGGUAAGGUUCUUCGCGUUGCAUCGAAUUAAACCACAUGCUCCACCGC